rnacentral:rRNA from 1 species
GACGAACGCUGGCGGCGUGCUUAACACAUGCAAGUCGAACGGAAAGGCCCUGCUUUUGUGGGGUGCUCGAGUGGCGAACGGGUGAGUAACACGUGAGUAACCUGCCCUUGACUUUGGGAUAACUUCAGGAAACUGGGUCUAACACCGGAUAGGAGCUCCUGCUGCAUGGUGGGGGUUGGAAAGUUUCGGCGGUUGGGGAUGGACUCGCGGCUUAUCAGCUUGUUGGUGGGGUAGUGGCUUACCAAGGCUUUGACGGGUAGCCGGCCUGAGAGGGUGACCGGCCACAUUGGGACUGAGAUACGGCCCAGACUCCUACGGGAGGCAGCAGUGGGGAAUAUUGCACAAUGGGCGGAAGCCUGAUGCAGCAACGCCGCGUGCGGGAUGACGGCCUUCGGGUUGUAAACCGCUUUCGCCUGUGACGAAGCGUGAGUGACGGUAAUGGGUAAAGAAGCACCGGCUAACUACGUG